AGAGUUUGAUCAUGGCUCAGAAUGAACACUGGCGGCGUGCUUAACACAUGCAAGUCGAACGGUAACAGAGAGAAGCUUGCUUUUCUGCUGACGAGUGGCGCACGGGUGAGUAAUAUAUAGGUAAUGUGCCUCUUAGUCUGGGAUAGCCAUUGGAAACGAUGAUUAAUACUAGAUACUCCUUCUAACUAUAAUGUUAGUCGGGAAAGUUUUUCGCUAAGAGAUCGGCCUAUAUCCCAUCAGUUAGUUGGUAAGGUAACGGCUUACCAAGACAAUGACGGGUAGCGGGUUUGAGAGGAUGAUCCGCCACACUGGUACUGAGACACGGACCAGACUCCUACGGGAGGCAGCAGUGAGGAAUAUUGCACAAUGGGGGAAACCCUGAUGCAGCAACGCCGCGUGGAGGAUGACGCAUUUCGGUGUGUAAACUCCUUUUAUAUGUCAAGAAAAUGACGGUAGCAUAUGAAUAAGCACCGGCUAACUCCGUGCCAGCGGCCGCGGUAAUACGGAGGGUGCAAGCGUUAUUCGGAAUCACUGGGCGUAAAGGACGCGUAGGCGGGUUGCCAAGUCAGGUGUGAAAUCCUACAGCUUAACUGUAGAACUGCAUUUGAAACUGGUACUAAAAGGUAUGGGGAGGGGGGGGAUGGUAUUUAGUGGGGUGUAAGGGGUAAAAUCCGUAGAUAUCACUAGGGAAUACCGAAAGCGAAGGGCGAUCUCCUGGAACAUAACUGGACGGCUAGGGCGUGAAAGCGUGGGGAGCAAACGGGGAUUAGAUACCCCGGGUAGUCCACGACCCUAAACGAUGAACACUAGUCGUCGCGAUGCUUGUCAUUGGCGGUGAUG
rnacentral:rRNA from 1 species